GACGAACGCUGGCGGCGUGCUUAACACAUGCAAGUCGAACGGAAAGGCCUGCUUUCCCUUGUGGAUUGCGGGUACUCGAGUGGCGAACGGGUGAGUAACACGUGAGUGAUCUGCCCCCAACUUGGGUAUAAGCCUGGGAAACUGGGUCUAAUUCCCGAUAGGACUGCAGGGUGGUGCCUGUGGUGGAAAACGAUUUUCUAGUGGUUGGGGAUGAGCUCGCGGCCUAUCAGCUUGUUGGUGGGGUAAUGGCCUACCAAGGCGGCGACGGGUAGCCGGCCUGGGAGGGGGGAAGGCAAAGUGGGAACGGGGACACGCCCCAGACUCCUGCGGGGGGAGGGAGUGGGGAAUAUUGCACAAGGGGGGGAAGCCGGAAGGCGGGCCGCGGGGUGGGGGUUUACGGCUUUGGGGUUGGAAACUCCUUUGGACGGGGGGGAAGCCACCUUGUUGGAAGGGUGGGGAGGGUAGUGGUAAAAAAAGCACGGGCAAAUUCGGG
rnacentral:rRNA from 1 species